UCCGCUGAAUUUAAGGAUAUUAUUAUGCAGAGAAAAAGAAACUAAUCAGGAUUUCCUUAGCGAGCGAACAGGAAAGAGUCCAGCAAUCUUGUGGUUCUGCCGCAGGGAAAUAUGGUAUUUGGGAAGAUCCGUUUAUCCCGAGAUAUCACAUCGCGUCCAAGUCCAUCUUAAAUGGGGCCACUUACCCGCAAAGGAUGCCAGGUUCAUAGCGAUCGGUGCGCGUCUCGGAAGGAUUCCUCCUUAGAAUCGGAUUGUUUGAGAAUGCAGUUCUAAGUAGGUGGUAAACUUCAUCUAAGGCUAAAUAUGAUCACGAGACCAAUAGCAAACAAGUACCGUGAGGGAAAGUUGAAAAGAAGAACUGAAGAGAGAGUUCAAGAGUACGUGAAAUCGUUCAGGGGUAAACCUAAGAAACCCAAAAGAUCGAACGGGGAGAUUCAUCGUCAGCGACGCUGGCUUCGCGUCGGUGGGCAAUGUCCUGCGGGGUCCUCGCGACCCAUCCUCGUGGACACCGUGCAUUGAUGUCCGGCGUUCAUCGUCGUGCACUUUUUCUCUAGUAGAACGUCGCGACCCGCUGGGUGUCGGUCUACGGUCCGGAUGCGGUGACUGACGCAUCGCCGGUAAAAUGCGUCAAACCCUCGGUUGCCCGGCCGACUGCCCGGAAGUACACGCAAGGUGUUAGGCCGCAACUCGCUCGAGUGCGUUUAUGCGUUGAAUCCGUCGCAAGCGCGCGCCACGGUACACGGAGGCUAACGGACCUAGCGUCGUCACCGGUCCUGGCCCGGUUGGGUCGAUGGAUAACCUUCAAUCGGCCAUUCCCCGCUUCGCGCGGGGAACCGAUACCGGUCAGCGACGCUACUGCUUUGGAUACUCUUAGGACCCGUCUUGAAACACGAACCAAGGAGUCUAACAUGUACGCAAAUCAUUGGAACUUUGCAUCUAAAGACAUAAUGAAAGUGAAGGUCGGCCCUGGUUGUCGACCGAGGGAGGAUGGGCCGCGUCGCGAUGUGACUCCGUACUCCCGGGAUGUCUCGUUCUCAUCGCGAGAAGAGGCGCACCCAGAGCGUACACGUUGGGAUCCGAAAGAUAGUGAACUAUGCCUGAUCAGGACGAAGUCAGGAAAUCCUGAUGGAGGUUCCAGGUAGCGAUUCUGACGUACAAAUCGAUCGUCGGAACUAUAAGAGCGAAAAACUAAUCGAAUCAUCUAGCUGGUUUCCUCCGAAGUUUCCCUCAGAAUAACUGGCACUCGCCCGUUCCGCAUGAAAUAAGCGCGAAUCUCAUCUAAUAAAGCGAAUUAGAGGCCUUGGGACCGAAACGACCUAUUCUCAAACUUUAAAUGGGUGAGAUCUCUGACUUUCUUGAAUUAUGAAGUCACGAAUAGGAAUCAGAUCAGAGUGACAAGUCGGCCAUUUUUGGUAAGUAGAACUAACGUUGUGGGGUUGGUUGUUUAAGACAGCAGAAGGGUGGCCAUGGAAUCGGAAUCCGCUAAGGAGUGUGUAACAACUCACCUGCCGAAGCAACUAGCCCUGAAAAUGGAUGGCGCUGAAGCGUCGAGCCUAUAUUCUGCCGCACGCGCCGCCACGAAGCCCUGACGAGUAGGAGGGUCGCGGCGGUGUGCGCAGAAGGGUCUGGGCGCGAGCCUGCCUAAAGCCGCCGGUGCAGAUCUUGGUGGUAGUAGCAAAUACUCCAGCGAGGCCCUGGAGAACUGAACGUGGAGAAAGGUUUCGUGUGAACAUUUCGUGUUGCACACGAAUCAGUCGAUCCUAAGCCCUAGCAGAAAUCCUAUGUCAGUGACGGCGUACGAUACUCUAGUGUACACUCUGGUAUACUCUGCAAAGAGGAGAGAGACACACGCCCGUCGGACGAAACGGAAUCCGAUUCUUAUUUUGGAACCUGGCAGCGGAAUCGCAUACAAUUCGGGCCCUCGUAAGAGUGUUCGUUGAGGUAACUCAAAAUGACCUGGAGACGCCGUCGGAAGAUCCGGAAAGAGUUUUCUUUUCUGUAUAAGCAUUCGACUUCCCUGGAAACCUCUAACAAGGAGAUAGGAUUUGGAACGCGAAAAGCACUGCAGUUGCGGCGGUAUCCGGAUCUUCCCCUCGGAUCUUGAAAAUUCAGAAGAGGGCCACGUGGAGGUCUCGCGCCGGCUUCGGGAUUCGAGCUCGGUCCCAUGCCUUAGCCUCCCGCGGAUCUUCCUUGCU
rnacentral:ncRNA from 1 species